rnacentral:rRNA from 1 species
UGGGGAAUAUUGGACAAUGGGGGAAACCCUGAUCCAGCGACGCCGCGUGAAUGAAGAAGGUUUUCGGAUUGUAAAGUUCUUUUGUUAGGGACGAUGAUGACGGUACCUAACGAAUAAGCCCCGGCUAACUUCGUGCCAGCAGCCGCGGUAAUACGAAGGGGGCUAGCGUUGUUCGGAAUGACUGGGCGUAAAGGGUGCGUAGGUUGUUAUUUAAGUCUGAUGUGAAAGUUUGGGGCUUAACCCCAAGACGGCAUUGGAAACUGGAUGACUGGAGUGCGAGAGAGGAGCUUGGAAUUGCUUGUGUAGAGGUGAAAUUCGUAGAUAUAAGCAAGAACACCAAAGGCGAAGGCAUGGCUCUGGCUCGUAACUGACACUGAGGCACGAAAGCGUGGGGAGCAAACA